rnacentral:lncRNA from 1 species
CUUUGAGCCACUUAAUUUGCAGUAGUCCAUUAUGGCGGCCCUAGAAAACUAAUGCAGUAGCUCACCCAAAAAACAGAUAAAAGUCUUACUCAGGCUCUACUCCUCUCUCUUCAAACUUACCUAUGAAGGUCACACUAAAACAGAAUAUAAAUCCACAUCUGCUUCUUUUUGGAGUGAACCUUUGGGAUCAGGUUUUAACAUUCUGAUCUACUUCAUUCGGUUUUUGGAAGGUGAGGAUAAUUAAAAGAAAACAAUGAACAACAGAUAAUGCAGUAGAGUUUCCAAUGCCUGAGGUGUUAUACAGACAUUAGGAUACAUCACAUAAAUGUAGAAAAUGUAAAAAUAAAAAAAAAUAUUAAAAAUAAAAGUGGCGAGCUGGGGAUUUACCUCAGUGGUGCCGCUGCCUGCCUCGCAAGUGGAAGGUCCCGAGUACAAUCCCUGGAACCAAAAUGAAU